UGAGUAACACGUGGGUAACCUGCCCAUCAGAAGGGGAUAACACUUGGAAACAGGUGCUAAUACCGUAUAACAAUCGAAACCGCAUGGUUUUGAUUUGAAAGGCGCUUUCGGGUGUCGCUGAUGGAUGGACCCGCGGUGCAUUAGCUAGUUGGUGAGGUAACGGCUCACCAAGGCCACGAUGCAUAGCCGACCUGAGAGGGUGAUCGGCCACAUUGGGACUGAGACACGGCCCAAACUCCUACGGGAGGCAGCAGUAGGGAAUCUUCGGCAAUGGACGAAAGUCUGACCGAGCAACGCCGCGUGAGUGAAGAAGGUUUUCGGAUCGUAAAACUCUGUUGUUAGAGAAGAACAAGGAUGAGAGUAACUGUUCAUCCCUUGACGGUAUCUAACCAGAAAGCCACGGCUAACUACGUGCCAGCAGCCGCGGUAAUACGUAGGUGGCAAGCGUUGUCCGGAUUUAUUGGGCGUAAAGCGAGCGCAGGCGGUUUCUUAAGUCUGAUGUG
rnacentral:rRNA from 1 species